GCUUCUGUGGCGCAAUUGGUUAGCGCGUUCGGCUGUUAUCUGAUAGCUACCGAGAGGUUGCCAGUUCGACCCUGGCCAGGAGCG